rnacentral:lncRNA from 1 species
CGGUUUCUACCUGGACGUGGAAGAAAAAAAAAAUCACAAAUCCAUCUCAAGCUUGAGGAAGAGCAGGUGGUCGUCGGCUGCUAACAUAUUCCAACCUCCAACACUCGUACCCCAUCAUGAGUCUACAAUCCAAGGUUAGUAAGAUUAAAAAAUCUAAAUUCAUUUUUGAAAUCUAUGUAUUUUUUUAUUGUAAUGCAAAUUGAUUCACAUAAAUCCAUGGUACUUUAACUGCCCAACAGUUGAAUUGGUUGUUCGUUUAAUGCUUGUGAAUUUUUCAGAAGCACAGUUUCAUAUUUUGAAUUUUUCAGAAGCACAUACUCUAUUUUGACAAGCACUCCUGCUUCAUUUUCUUUGGGUUCUGACUUAGUGGUAGUGAAAAUUGCUGGGAACAAUCUCUGCUGGCUCGAUACGGAUAGCUCUGUCAAUUAACUUAUUUGAAAUCCCUUUUGUCAAAGGGAAACCAAAGAAUGGUUUGGGAUUGAUGCCCUUAGGCUAUUAUAGCUCGUGGUCUCUUUUUGCUUUGUCUCACCACAUAGUUAUCUGGUUGUGAUAAUUGCAGGUGUAUCCGGGUCAAGUAUUUAAGAAGUAUGCUGUCUUAGGUGAUAUAGUAGUAUUAUCGGUCGCUGUCGUAAACUUGUGCCCAUGAUUUCCAACUUGGAUCAAGUCACUAAUUUUAAAUCGGCAAAUUUGAAAUUUCCAAUCUUUAUGUUGUGUGGGUGUAUUUGCUUUCACAUGAGUUUUUGUGUUUGCUAGGUGAUCUCCUGUAAAAUCGGUUUCAUGGUGAAACCAGCUUCACAAUGACACUAUUUUAACAUACAAAUGAUACUUUAAAAUGAUAAAGUGUCAUUUGUAAGUUGAAGUAGUGUCAUUGUGAAGCUGGUUUCACCAUAAAAUCGGUUUCACAGGAGUUUUUGUGUUUGCUUUGAGGUAUAAGAAUGGGAUAAGCUCCAUUUACCAUCUCAUACUUCGUCUAUUUUGACGUAAUAAAAAAAUCUAGAUAGAUGGUAUAAAUUUUUGGGCAUCAUCUUUUCCCUAAAAAAAUGAUUUUAUGCCUAAGAAAGAGCGAUAUAAUUUUAUACCACCUUAUGAGAAGUGAAUACAUAUAUUAUCAUUCAAACCAAAUAGAAUAUAAAAAAUGUGGUUCUCACUUUAAGUGAUCAAUUUAUAUCUCAUUAUAUUAUUCCUCCAUUUAGAGGAAUAAAAAGCAAACACGCCCUAUAAUACGGCCUCCAUAUGCAGCCACUAAUUUUAUUGAGCCCUUCACAUAAUUUAGGCACUCAUGUACUAGGCGGGUAUAAGUAGGGCAGGGCGCGGGUCUGGUAGGGGUACAACACGGAUCAGAUCUGAAUAAGUAAAAGUUUAAUUUAUCAUGAAUAGAAAUAAUAAUUAUUGUGGAAAAACUAAUAUUUUAUUGAUAUUACAUUUUUUCAUGUUGAUUAUUACUUUUUAUCACAACAAUAAUUACUUCGAAUUAUUCAUAUUUUGAAAUAUUACAUUUGUUUAUAUCAAUAAUUAUUUUUUUAUUACGAUAAUAAUUAUUUGACCAAAUAAGUACAAGUUCUCUGCCUCCACCAUUCACACAGCGGCCAUGCCCUUCGCUGCGACCAUGCCGCCUUACCUUGUCGUUGCCCCAAGCCCGUGUCGCAUCUCCUUCCCGCCGGCGCACCCCUGCCCCGCGUUCAUGCCGCCUCUCCUUCCAGCUGGGAUGCCCCUUGCACCGCACCCGUGCCGCUGCUCUGCCAACCACCCUCUAACGCGCCCUCAGAUCCGCGCCCAUGCCCUUGACCACUUCUCUCCUCCCAUGUGCAGAGUUGGCUCGAGUCAAAUCCGUCUCUUAGGUGAGAUUGAUCUCGAUCUCACCUAAGACCUACUCUAGAUUAGAUCAUUGAAACUAUAUAUGGAGUAUGUUUUUUACAUUUUGAAUUUUUACAUGGAAGAUUACAACUAGGAAUGAAUCGAGUCAAAAUAACUUUAAAAAAAAAUUAGAUGGAGUCAAAAUAAGUAAAAGGUAAAACAGUAAUUUUGAAUAUUUAUUUUUAAAUUAGAAUCUAAUAAUUAAGUGAACCGUAUCAACCCGCGAACACCAUUUUUUCUAGACAAAUUUUGUUCGAUUAACAUAUGUAUACUAAUAUAAAAAGAGUUUAAGGCAUCCUAAGGCACAACUUGUGGAUUGCC